AUUUCCGUACUGUAGUGGUCAUCACGUUUGCCUCACACGCAAAAGGUCCCCAGUUCGAAACUGGGCGGAAACA
rnacentral:tRNA from 1 species